UACGAAGGGGGCUAGCGUUGCUCGGAAUCACUGGGCGUAAAGCGCACGUAGGCGGAUUGCUAAGUCAGGGGUGAAAUCCUGGAGCUCAACUCCAGAACUGCCUUUGAUACUGGCGAUCUUGAGUCCGGAAGAGGUGAGUGGAACUCCUAGUGUAGAGGUGGAAUUCGUAGAUAUUGGGAAGAACACCGAUGGCGAAGGCAGCCAUCUGGACCGACACUGACGCUGAGGCGCGAAAGCGUGGGGAGCAAACAGG
rnacentral:rRNA from 1 species